AUGUGGGGAUGCAUGUGGAGCUCCGGACGCGGCUCCGGGAGCAGAUCCGGCGGCGGCAGCGACCCCGAGCGCGAGCGGCGCGUCCGGUCGGACGACGCGAGAAAGCGCGGGGCGGGGAAGUGGACCAACCGCGGCCUCUCGCCGCCGCCGUGCUUCCACGUCCGCGAGACAGACAACUAUGACCGUCGGCAUGGUCGUACCCCGUCCUCUGCCGCGGGCUCGUCCUCCGUAGCGAGAUCUUCCUACGCCGGGAGAUCCUCCUCUUCCGGCGCGGGCCUUCUCCCCGUGAAGAGGGAGUGGUCGAAGGAGCCUGAGGACUUCGAGUUCGUCCUCAUCAAGGAGGAGCCCGAGGAGCUUGGCCGCCGCGGAGUCGUCGGGCCAGAGGACUUCGUCGCCGAUGUCGACGUGGUUGCGACCGCCAUUGCCGAGCGGAGCGUGCUCGAGGAGGCGGAGCGCCGACGCCACCACGAGGAGCUCGAAUACCUCCAGUUUUGGUAG
rnacentral:rRNA from 1 species